rnacentral:snoRNA from 1 species
GUCUCCUCAGUGAGCUCCACUCACUGUUUCUUGGUGGCAGUUUAUGGAUUCUCAUGAGAAUAAUUCACAGAACUAGCAUUAUUUUACUUUCUUUCUUUAUGUAGGCAUAUUUGGCUAUUUUAUGAGACAUUC